CCUACGGGAGGCAGCAGUGGGGAAUCUUCCACAAUGGGGGAAACCCUGCUGCGGCAACGCCGCGUGAAGGAAGAAGGUUUUCGGAUUGUAAACUUCUGUUCUUAGUGAAGAACAUUGAUGGUAGUAAAUGAGUAAGUCAUGGCUAACUCUGUGCCACCAGCCACGGCAAUAUGUAGGUGGCAAGCGUUGUCCGGAAUUACUGGGUGUAAGGGGUGCGCAGGCGGGAAGCCAAGUCCGCUGUGAAAACUACGGGCUUAACUUGUGGACUGCAGUUGAAACUGGUAUUCUUGAGUGAAGAAGAGGUUGGGGGAAUUCCAAGUGUAGCGGUGAAAUGCGUAGAGAUUCGGAGGAACACCAGUGGCGAAGGCGACCAACUGGGCUUUAACUGACGCUGAGGCGCGAAAGUGCGGGUAUCAAACAGGAUUAGAUACCCUAGUAGUC
rnacentral:rRNA from 1 species